ensembl:snoRNA Gm24252 small nucleolar RNA SNORA24
CUCCAUGUAUCUUUCGACCGGCCAGCUAUGGACGUCUCCUCUCCAAGCCACAGAGGAGCACAUCCUUGCUUAGUGGCAAAGCCAUCACCAUGUAAUUGGCAUCGGAUACACCCGCUGGCACAGGGAGCGUCC